GGCAACUUGGCCGAGUGGUCUAAGGCGACGCACUCAAGGAUUUCCUUUGCUUCUUUGAAGAGAAGCAAGCAUUGCGUUCUCGCAAGAGGCGAGAGUUCGAAUCUCUCAGUUGUCA